GGCGCGGCGGCGGGUGCCAUGGCAACGGCCAGCGCGGCGGACGAGGGCGCGCAGCCCGUGGCGGAGCGGGCGUUCGUGCGGCUGGGCCUCUAGCGGCCGGCGCCCGGCGGCCAGGGCGUGGGUGGCGGCUGCAGCCUGACGUGCCGCGCGCGCCGCGCCCCGCGCGCUGCCGGCCGCGACCGCGACCUCCGCCGACUGGUGCUGCGCCUGCGCGCCGCCGGUGCCGGCGUUGGAGCGCGGGCCGGCCUUCCGGCUGGGACGCGCCGUCCCGUUUCUCGUCCUCGACGCCUGGCUGGGAGCGGGAGGAAAACGCCUUUCCUGGUCUCUGGACGCUGUGACUGAAAGGGACCGGGAAGGGUGACGCUGAAGCGGCCUUCGCUCCGAGCGGUUCGAGCCCUGCGCGCCUUUUUCCUAAAGGCGGCCGUCCCCGUGGCUCCGCCGCGCCUCCGCCCUCUCCCUCCCCCGGGUUUCUCUUUAGCCAGCGCGGGCCGCGCGGCCGCCUUUCCUUCUGCAGUCUGCCCCCACGCAGGACUGGUAGUGCUUCCCUUCGUUCUGCCUGUCGAGCUCACACACGGCGCUCUUGGCGAGGCAGGGCCAGUUCCGGAGCCUUGCCGGGCGCAGAGCGCAGCCCGAGCAGAGGUUCUCCCAGAGCACGCGGCGCCCUCCACCCCGGUACGAGGCCAGGAGAGUCGAGUGAGCGGGGAUCCAGGCGUGUCCGUUCCUCACGUCCUGUGCGAGGAUGGAGCACAGGCCAUCCCGGUGUCUUCAUCGUCUCUCUCUCCCCUGAACAAUAAGCAUGCUGGCUCUCAGGGUCCCGCUUCCUGCGCCCUGGUGUCACUCGGUUUCCGUUCUUCGAAUCUCAGCUGUAGAGUCUUUCGCUUCCCAGCCUCAGCUGGUCUCUGAUUUGGUCUGAAUUUUUGUUGUAUUUGUUAUGUUUACCAGUGGCUUGUGCUUGUUUAUAUGAACGUGUUCUCUCAGACUCGGUGCUGAGCUGCCUGGGGACAGGGCUCAAUUCCUCCCCUUGCUCUGACUUCGUUAUCUGUUAACUCUUGAUACGUAUGUUCCCAGAAAACACUUAAGAGCUUUUUAUGUGCACUCUGACUUUCUGUUGACUGUGUUUUUUGCAGCAGAAUAAUGCAAGGACUGUGAUAUGGUGUGGUGAUAGGAUUUGUUGAAGCCAAGUCACAACUUUUCCUGAUUCAGCAUGAUAAAAAAUAAGGAUCACUCGUCUAAAAAAGAUAACUUAGCAAUCACUGCAGUUGCUUUACAAGAUCACAUUCUACAUGACCUUCAACUUGGAAGUCUUUCAGUAGCAGACAAUUCUAAGAUAGACUUACGAAAGAAAGAGAACAAGGCAAAAUCUCUGAAGAGAGAUGCAAAAGCUGUAGUAGAUACUGGACUUAAGAAACCCACGCAAAGCCCCAGAGUGGAAGAUCCAGAAAGAGAGUAUGUUCUUGAUCCCACACCACCACCACUAACUUUAGCACAGAAGCUGGGCCUCAUUGCACCUCCCCCCUUGCCACUGUCCUCAGACGAAUGGGAGAGUGUGAAACAGAGGUCCACUCUGCACGGGGACUCCAUGCAGCCAUGCCCCAUCUGCAGAGAGGAAUUCGAGCUUCACCCCCAGGUGCUGCUCUCCUGCUCCCACGUGUUCCACAGGGCAUGCCUUCAGGCUUUUGAAAGGUUCACGAAUAAAAAAACAUGUCCUCUCUGUAGAAAGAACCAGUAUCAAACCCGAGUGAUCCAUGACGGGGCUCGUCUGUUCAAAGCCAAGUGUGCUACCAGGAUCCAAGCCUGUUGGAGAGGGUACGUUGUCAGAAAGUGGUUCAGAAGCCUGAGGAGAGCAGUGCCCCCCACAGAGCCCAGGUUAAGGAGAAGGUUCUUCGAAGAAAAGAGCAGCUGAAAUGCUAAGCAAAACCGACUCCGUUUUAGUCUCAUUUCCUGACACACUCACCCUCGGUCACUGCUGAGUGAGGCCUGCGAGGAACGGUCACUCUGGACUGUGCUGGCUCUCCUGUUCCUCCUGGGCCAUCGUUUCCAGGGAAGUGGCCACAAGGAAAUCACGUGCUGAGAGGAUGUGUUGGCCUGGCCAGCCACCACGCUGAGAAGGGAAAUGGGGACAGAGAGCUGCAGAGAGAAACCACAACAGUGAGAGGCCCAAGAACCCCACCAUGAUUAAGAAAAAGACCUGCCUGGCGAAGCUGCAGCACACAGCCACGUGAUCCUGGAAGCAGUCAGGGAAGAGCAGCAGCAGAGGCCAGGAGACUGAGCACAGCCUCUUCCAUAUCUUGGAAAAGACGAAAUAUUCAUAGAGAUCAGCCGCCGUAUGCUGUGUUCAUACGACACCAACAUAGAAGAGCUCUUCUCAGAAGUCGAUCACUGCUUGGCUGUAAACCGAAGCAUUCUUCAGCAGCUGGAUGAAAAAUGUGGCCAAGCGCUCACAG